rnacentral:tRNA from 1 species
ACACUGAUGGUUCAGUGGCAGAAUUCUCGCCUUCCGUGUGGGACACCUGGGUUCGAUUCCUGGUCAAUGCA